rnacentral:snoRNA from 1 species
CUACAAUCAAUUAAGCACGCAGCUCUUUUUCUCAUGGGCCUGGUGUGCAAGGGCUGCAAACAGCAGCAUCCUAGGUAGUGUACAGCAGCCUGUUCCUUGUUGUACAACAGCCAUUGGACAUUU